UACGUAGGGGGCGAGCGUUGUCCGGAUUCAUUGGGCGUAAAGAGCUCGUAGGCGGUUCAGUAAGUCGGGUGUGAAAUCUCCGUGCUCAACACGGAGCGGCCACCUGAUACUGCUGUGACUCGAGUCCGGUAGGGGAGUGUGGAAUUCCCGGUGUAGAGGUGAAAUUCGUAGAUAUUGGGAAGAACACCGGUGGCGAAGGCGGCUCUCUGGACCGUAACUGACGCUGAGGCGCGAAAGCGUGGGGAGCAAACAGG
rnacentral:rRNA from 1 species